rnacentral:lncRNA from 1 species
UGGAAAUCUUCCCACCUCAUCUUGCUUAUUGCUGAUUGUGCGCACAACACUUGCCCAUCAAGAUCAUUUUCAAAAGAUGAUUACUUCAGUGUGCCCAGGCCUGCAGGACAUAAGUAUGUGGGCAGUGGUGGAUGACGAGUCCUACCACACAGGCAGGAUUUUUUGAAAGAUUCAGAGUAUGGCAAAGUGUUUAACAUGAGACAGCUGUGGAGUGUGUACCAAAUGUGGACAGAAACUGUGAGGACCAGAUGGAAACACAUGACAGAGUUAUUAAUGAUGUGGAUAAAGGAACAAACAGUGCCUUCAUAAAUUAGCUAAUGAAACUAGAAGGAGAGGUGUCAUGACAUCCUUGGGAACAGAGGAAAGAGCUAAGAGGCAUAUUUUGUGCCAGAUCCACAUGAGGAAUUUACAACACAGAAGGGAUGUAUCAUAUCUACCACGUGGGCCAAGAAAUAGUAUAUGGAACCUGAUCUGUGCACAACAGAGGGUGUCUCUGUGGGGCCCAGAGACUCCCUGUAGGGGGUAUGGGAAAGGCAGGAGUCAGCCCCGCUCAGCCUUCCCUCCAGUAAAUAAUCUCUGACAGCAUCUAAAAGACAACAAGACUGGGAAGCAUUCAGGGCACUAAUGUAUGCACUCCGUGAGGAUAAAAGAAGCAAAUGUUAGAGGAUCAAAGAGUGCUCAGAGCAAUGAGUAAUGUAACACUCAUCUCAAAUUAAACAGCCUUCUCCAUGAUGGGAUGCAGAGUGUGUCUACCCGACUUUCUUUAGCAGCUGGAAGAAGAGAAACAAUAUUCCUGGCAGGAAGAAGGCAGAGAGACA